GCGUCAUUGGUUUAAUGGUAGAACAACUGACUUCCAAUCAGUUAGCGCGAGUUCGAUUCUCGCAUGGCGCUC
rnacentral:tRNA from 1 species